AUCCAGUUGACUAGUCUCAAAUAGGACGAAACGCACGUCUUGGAU
rnacentral:hammerhead_ribozyme from 2 species